GANGACGCUUAUGGUAUGCUUUCACAUGCAAGUUUAAUGAAAAAAAAAAUAAGUAUUUUUGAUAUUUAAAGUAUUUUUUUUAUUUUAUAGCGAACGGGUGAGUAAAAACUUUUUUUUACCAAUCAAUUUAAGAAAUCUGUGCAAUAUAGAAAUCUUAGAUAAAAAAAUUUUUUUAGAAAAAUUUAUAAAAGACAAUUUGUUGUUGGUUGAUGAAAAAAGAAAGUAUUAGGUUGUUGGUUUUCCAAGCCGAANAUGCUUAGUUGGUCUGAGAGGAUGUACAACCACAUUGGGACUGAGACAAGGCCCUGACUUUUAAAGGCUGCAGNGGGGAAUAUUGGACAAUGAGAGAAAUCUUGAUCCAGCAAAAUCAGAUGGUAGGACGCCGACCCAAGAAGGCUGUAAGAGUAUUCAGGCGAGGUUGUAAAUAUCUAAUAAAAAAAAAGAUGAUGACUUUUUUUUANAANAGUCCCGGUAAACUUCGNGCCAGCAGCCGCGGUAAUACNAAGGGGGCAAGCGUUAUUCAAAAAAACUGGGCGUAAAGGGNUUUCANAUGGUAUAAAGAGAGUUAUUAGCGAAAUUUUUUANUUAAGGUAAAAAUUGUCUAANAAAACAUUUAAACUUUGGAGUAGCAAGNGGAUAGGAUUUAUUUUUUUAGUUGAGGGGGCAUUCGUCUAUAAAAAAAGGAGGAUCUUGGGNGAAAACAUCCUNAUUGUUUGCGUACUGACGUCNAUAAAGCAAAAGCAUAGGGAGCAAACAGGAUUAGAUAUCNNGGUAGUCUAUGCCCUGACCGAUGGGUAUNAAAA
rnacentral:rRNA from 1 species